ensembl:snRNA
UGGAAACAUGAAAUGAGAGGAGGACAGCACUCCCCUUGGUUAGGAUGGAAGAAGUCCUGGUGGAUUUAACCAUGUUUAAGACUCUCACUUACUUUGUGGCAUGUAAUGUAU